GACGAACGCUGGCGGCGUGCUUAACACAUGCAAGUCGAACGGAAAGGCCCUGCUUGCAGGGUUCUCGAGUGGCGAACGGGUGAGUAACACGUGGGUGAUCUGCCCCUUACUUUGGGAUAAGCCUGGGAAACUGGGUCUAAUACUGGAUAGGACCAUGCUGUAGGUGGUGUGGUGGAAAGAUUAGUUUCGGUAAGGGAUGAGCUCGCGGCCUAUCAGCUUGUUGGUGGGGUAAUGGCCUACCAAGGCGUCGACGGGUAGCCGGCCUGAGAGGGUGGAAGGCAACAUUGGGACUGAGAUACGGCCCAGACGCCUACGGGAGGCAGCAGUGGGGAAUAUUGCACAAUGGGAGCAAGCCUGAUGCAGCGACGCCGCGUGGGGGAUGACGGCCUUCGGGUUGUAAACUCCUUUCAGCCAUGACGAAGCCCUUGUGGUGACGGUAGUGGUAGAAGAAGCACCGGCUAACUACGUG
rnacentral:rRNA from 1 species